GACGAACCGUGCGAACGUUAUUCGGAAUCACUGGGCUUAAAGCGCGUGUAGGCGGGCCGCCACGUCAGUCGCUGAAAUCCCCCGGCUCAACCGGGGAAGUGGCACUGAUACGAGCGGCCUGGAGGGAGGUAGGGGGGGCUGGAACUUCCGGUGGAGCGGUGAAAUGCGUUGAGAUCGGAAGGAACGCCCGUGGCGAAAGCGAGCCCCUGGACCUUUUCUGACGCUGAGACGCGAAAGCUAGGGGAGCGAACGGG
rnacentral:rRNA from 2 species